rnacentral:rRNA from 1 species
AGUUACCUACGGGAGGCAGCAGUGAGGAAUAUUGGUCAAUGGACGAGAGUCUGAACCAGCCACGUAGCGUGAAGGAUGACUGCCCUAUGGGUUGUAACCUUCUUUUAUAUGGGAAUAAAACAGGGUAUGCAUACCCUCUUGUAUGUACCAUAUGAAUAAGGAUCGGCUAACUCCGUGCCAGCAGCCGCGGUAAUACGGAGGAUCCGAGCGUUAUCCGGAUUUAUUGGGUUUAAAGGGAGCGUAGGUGGAUUGUUAAGUCAGUUGUGAAGGUUUGCGGCUCAA